rnacentral:rRNA from 1 species
AUUGAACGCUGGCGGCAUGCUUUACACAUGCAAGUCGAACGGUAACAGGUUAAGCUGACGAGUGGCGAACGGGUGAGUAAUGCAUCGGAACGUGCCCGAUCGUGGGGGAUAACGCAGCGAAAGCUGCGCUAAUACCGCAUACGAUCUGAGGAUGAAAGCGGGGGACCGUAAGGCCUCGCGCGAUCGUAGCGGCCGAUGUCAGAUUAGGUAGUUGGUGGGGUAAAGGCUCACCAAGCCGACGACCUGUAGCUGGUCUGAGAGGACGACCAGCCACACUGGGACUGAGACACGGCCCAGACUCCUACGGGAGGCAGCAGUGGGGAAUUUUGGACAAUGGGCGAAAGCCUGAUCCAGCAAUGCCGCGUGCAGGAAGAAGGCCUUCGGGUUGUAAACUGCUUUUGUACGGAGCGAAAAGGCUCUCUCUAACACAGGGGGCUCAUGACGGUACCGUAAGAAUAAGCACCGGCUAACUACGUGCCAGCAGCCGCCGUAA